UGUAGCUCAGUGGUAGAGCAUGUGCCUAGUAAGUGUGACUCUCUGGGUUCAAUCCCUAGCA
rnacentral:tRNA from 1 species